AUCUCUGCGCACAGGAAGCCUGUUCGAGCGCAUCCUCAACAUUCCAUACGGUAGUAGCGACAGAGCGCCCGGAAUAUUCUAGCUUGGAUAGAAGAAUGGAGGACAGAACAAAGGGAAGGAGUACAGAAGUUAUCCAGCCUGCUGACUAAGAAAUUUCCUGAAACAUGUCAACGACCUGAUGCAUGGCCUCUACAGCAGUGCUUGGCCACCCACUCAGUUACCAGUGACCUAUUCUGCCACAUCCCAGGGAAAGGAGAGAGCAGAACCACCUCUCCUUAAAUACAUACUAAUUGACAGUACGUUUUGUGCAAAAUGGUGAUGUUCGAUACUCUGAUCUUCAAUGUGUAUUGAUUCCUACUAGCCAGCUUUUAAAGAGCUAGGUUUGUACUAGCUAUGCUGAUGAUCAUUAACGUUUUUUCUCUGCAUCAGGUCUCACUGAGACUGUAUUCCC